UUCGUUCUAACUUGUAGAGCAUCAUAAGAAGAAUACAGAAAUAAAGGCGUUUUCCAUCAAUGACAUACAUUUGUUACGCUUUUCUGCCGAGCGCU
ensembl:snoRNA snoR24 Small nucleolar RNA R24